rnacentral:rRNA from 1 species
GACGAACGCUGGCGGCGUGCUUAACACAUGCAAGUCGAACGGAAAGGCCCUGCUUUUGUGGGGUGCUCGAGUGGCGAACGGGUGAGUAACACGUGAGUAACCUGCCCUUGACUUUGGGAUAACUUCAGGAAACUGGGGCUAAUACCGGAUAGGAGCUCCUGCUGCAUGGUGGGGGUUGGAAAGUUUCGGCGGUUGGGGCUGGACUGGCGGCUUAUCAGCUUGUUGGUGGGGUAGUGGCUUACCAAGGGUUUGACGGAUAGCCGGCAUGGGAGGGUGACCGGGCACCAGGGGACUAAGGUACGGCCCAGACGCCUACGGUAGGCAGCAGUGGGGAGUAUGGCGCAGUAAGGGGAAGCCUGAUGCAGCAGCGCCGCGUGCGGGAUGACGGCCUUCGGGUUAUAAACCGCUUUCGCCUGUGACGAAGCGUGAGUGACGGUAAUGGGUAAAGAAGCACCGGCUAACUACGUG